rnacentral:rRNA from 1 species
UACGAAGGUCCCGAGCGUUGUUCGGAAUUACUGGGCGUAAAGCGCACGUAGGCGGCUUUUUAAGUCAGGGGUGAAAUCCCGGGGCUCAACCCCGGAACUGCCCUUGAAACUGGAGAGCUAGAAUCUUGGAGAGGCGAGUGGAAUUCCGAGUGUAGAGGUGAAAUUCGUAGAGAUCGUAAGGAAGGCCAGUGGCGAAGGCGAGUCUCUGGACAGUAACUGACGCUGAGGCACGAAGGCCAGGGGAGCAAACGGG